rnacentral:rRNA from 1 species
AACGAACGCUGGCGGCGUGCCUAACACAUGCAAGUCGAGCGAGAAAGCCCGCAAGGGUGAGUAAAGCGGCGCACGGGUGCGUAACACGUGAGUAAUCUGCCCUGGAGUCCGGAAUAACUCGCCGAAAGGCGUGCUAAUGCCGGAUGAGACCACGGGAGCCUCGGCUCCUGCGGGAAAAGGUGGCCUCUGUACACAAGCUAUCGCUUCAGGAUGAGCUCGCGGCCCAUCAGCUCGUUGGCGGGGUAAUGGCCCACCAAGGCAACGACGGGUAGCUGGUCUGAGAGGACGAUCAGCCACACUGGAACUGAGACACGGUCCAGACUCCUACGGGAGGCAGCAGUGGGGAAUCUUGCGCAAUGGGCGAAAGCCUGACGCAGCAACGCCGCGUGUGUGAUGAAGGUCUUCGGAUCGUAAAGCACUGUCGCGAGGGACGAAUAAGGGGCGAGCUAACAUCUCGUUCCGAUGACGGUACCUCGAGAGGAAGCACCGGCUAACUCUGUGCCAGCAGCCGCGGUAAUACAGAGGGUGCAAGCGUUGUUCGGAAUUAUUGGGCGUAAAGCGCGUGUAGGCGGCGAUGAUAGUUGGGUGUGAAAGCCCUCGGCUUAACCGAGGAAGUGCGCCCAAAACUGCAUGGCUUGAGUACCGGAGAGGGUGGCGGAAUUCCCGGUGUAGAGGUGAAAUUCGUAGAUAUCGGGAGGAACACCAGCGGCGAAGGCGGCCACCUGGACGGAUACUGACGCUGAGACGCGAAAGCGUGGGGAGCAAACAGGAUUAGAUACCCUGGUAGUCCACGCCGUAAACGAUGAGCGCUAGGUGUUGUGGGUGUUGACCCCUGCAGUGCCGCAGCUAACGCAUUAAGCGCUCCGCCUGGGAAGUACGGCCGCAAGGUUAAAAUUCAAAGGAAUUGACGGGGGCCCGCACAAGCGGUGGAGCAUGUGGUUUAAUUCGACGCAAUGCGUAGAACUUUACUUGGUCUUGAUAUCCUCGGAAUCNUUCAGAGA